GCUUGACGAUGUACCCACUUGGAACCGUACGGCUGAGAGCUCCACUUCAGAAUGGCAAUUAAGCAGAUCCCCAGAAACCUAUAAACUGUAACAAAGGUGGGAUUUUCAUCUGUAUCACUUCGCACAUGGAUCCUCCUGAGACAGACCAUGUGGAGGAGCAGAAAUGAGCUGUGACAGUGUUGGUACUCAGCUACUCGGCACAGGAUGAGGGCAGCAAAGCAUCAUUUUCUGACUCACAGUGAAGGCAGGAAGCACUGGCUGGCUGCUCUAGGCCAUCAAACUGGUAUCCUUAGUAUCCAGCAGGGCACAGAGGGUGCAAGAACAGGGAAGCAACCACCAUGCAGACUCAUGGAUAUUUAAAGACUAAACUUCGCUGUUUAGAGGUCUGUAUCUCAUUACUGAGCUCUUGGAUAAGCUGAAUAAGACAGUGUUUAGCACAGUACUCUCAACAUUUUUUAAG